AGAGCCGAUCCAAGCAUCAGAUGCUCGUCUUUACAACCACAUAAAGUAGUUACAAUUGGCACGCCUCGCGGCUGUCCAGUUCCCACACCCGAAGAAGCACCUGCCCUGCAUCGGACCAGGUUUGCGGAUAACACACCUGCUGCUUUCGACUCCACAGAAGCAGAAGGGGCACCUGUCCCUGUCAAUUGGGUCCCGCAGAGGAUGGAACUGGAACGCAGGCCAUGGUGGCGAUUUCGGCCUAUGGGAGUGGUGGGGCGGAUGAACGGG
rnacentral:misc_RNA from 1 species